GACAGAGGGUGCAAACGUUGUUCGGAAUUACUGGGCGUAAAGCGCGUGUAGGCGGCCCUGCAAGUCGGGUGUGAAAUCCCACGGCUCAACCGUGGAAGUGCACUCGAAACUGCAGGGCUAGAGUCCUGGAGAGGAAGGUGGAAUGCUUGGUGUAGAGGUGAAAUUCGUAGAUAUCAAGCGGAACACCGGUGGCGAAGGCGGCCUUCUGGGAC
rnacentral:rRNA from 1 species